rnacentral:lncRNA from 1 species
AUGGAGAUUUUAUUGAUUGGUUGGAAGACAAAAGAUGGCCUUCCUUCAGAGUCGCUAAGCUGUGGCUUAGAGAAGCAGAGGCCAACUGACUACCAGAGUUCCUGUGUGAUGUUGCACCUUCCCUCACAUCAAAUGUUUCACAGAUACAAAUUUCUCAGAAAAGCAAGGACUGAUCAGAAUGAAGUAACAAAUGGCAUUUGUUAUUGA